CACGUGGCUACUGCGCAUGACUGCGCGUGUUCAUGCAAUUUUUUCAAGUGUUUUCGCUCGAAGCAAGCCGGCUCGAAGCGCUCGAAAUUUGGUCAAGAUAUGCAUUCUCUCAAGUUCUCAACUAUCCUCAGGAAAUUAGAGGCUUGUCAGCCUCACCCUAAUUGGGUUCUUUCACUUGUUAUUCAUAGAAAGGUUCAUGCUGUCGGUAAUACCGUAGAUGAACUUUUACAGCACUGGAAAUCUGUGUUUGUUGGUGCUGAGGUCUCCGAGCCAGAAGCCUCCAUACAGCACUUAAUGGGUGCUUCUCUGCAGUGCUCAACGGGAGAGCUACGCCAUAUGGGAAAUGCUGUUUUGACUGCACAGCAGUUGAGAGAUCUAGAGAGACGCUGUCUUUGUCGCCUGCAAAGGUACUGGUGCAUCGCCGGGUCGUCCGCCUGCCGACAGAGUCUUGGUCAGAACAGCCGCCAGC
rnacentral:lncRNA from 1 species